UACGAAGGGGCGAGCGUUGUUCGGAAUCACUGGGCGUAAAGGGCGCGUAGGCGGCCCUUCUUGUCGCGUGUGAAAGCCCCGGGCUCAACCUGGGAAUGGCGCGCGAGACGGGGGGGCUGGAGUUCGGGAGAGGAGCGUGGAAUUCCCAGUGUAGAGGUGAAAUUCGUAGAUAUUGGGAAGAACACCGGUGGCGAAGGCGGCGCUCUGGGCCUUACCUGACGCUGAGGAGCGAAAGCGUGGGGAGCGAACAGG
rnacentral:rRNA from 1 species